ensembl:lncRNA
AUUUAAGGGCUGACUGCAACUGGGGAAGGGUCUGUGUCUGGAGAUUGCUCCUUGUGGAGUUUCUUGCAAGCCUAUAACACUGGGCUAAAUACCUGAAGAAAUCCCAGCUAAGCCAAUUUCCAAUAGAAGAAAGACGUCUACUGGAGUCUUCUGCAGCAAGGCUACCAUUCUUGAGUUCCCCUCUCAAAAGAAUCCAGCGGAAAAGGCAGAAAGGAAUUUCAUCAUCUCAGGCAAGCUGCCAGGAAAGAACAAGCUCCCCUCUACUGAAAAAAACACCAAGGACAGAGGAAGUUCAGUUGCUGGGAGACUGCAGCUUUGAGAGAUGUGUGAAUGCUUCCAGAAUGCACAACCUGAGGUGCAAAUUCCAGGAAAUGAUAUGGGAGAUACCUGCUGUGAUCACCACCAUGACGCACAUCUGUAGAUCAUCCCAACCAUGCAACAGCUCUCCUCUAUUCAUACCUUAUCAAACAUAUUAAAUUCACCUUGGUAUGCUUUUAUCAAUAAAUACCUUAAAACUUCUUGUAUUUCCUUGAUGUGACAAAUGUUUCAAACAGGAAAAUAUUUUUCAGCUCAUUCUAGUUAAUUUUAUGGAGGAACUGUCUCUGUCCUUGAUGUCAAAUAACAUUGUCAACAGCAGCACUCUACAAAUUGGUUAAAAUACACAUUGUAAGAAAAAUUAAAAAAAAAAUCUAUAAUAAACCACUUAGAAAUC